CGGGGUGAGUAAUGUAUGGGGAUCUGCCCGAUAGAGGGGAAUAACUACUGGAAACGGUGGCUAAUACCGCAUAAUGUCUACGGACCAAAGCAGGGGCUCUUCGGACCUUGCACUAUCGGAUGAACCCAUAUGGGAUUAGCUAGUAGGUGGGGUAAAGGCUCACCUAGGCGACGAUCUCUAGCUGGUCUGAGAGGAUGAUCAGCCACACUGGGACUGAGACACGGCCCAG
rnacentral:rRNA from 1 species